GACCGCGUAGCUCAGUUGGAAGAGCAUUGGGCUAGUAUUCCAAAGGUCGUAGGUUCGAAUCGCACCGUGGCCG
rnacentral:tRNA from 1 species